ACGCUGGCGGCGUGCCUAAUACAUGCAAGUCGAGCGAAUGGAUUAAGAGCUUGCUCUUAUGAAGUUAGCGGCGGACGGGUGAGUAACACGUGGGUAACCUGCCCAUAAGACUGGGAUAACUCCGGGAAACCGGGGCUAAUACCGGAUAACAUUUUGAACCGCAUGGUUCGAAAUUGAAAGGCGGCUUCGGCUGUCACUUAUGGAUGGACCCGCGUCGCAUUAGCUAGUUGGUGAGGUAACGGCUCACCAAGGCAACGAUGCGUAGCCGACCUGAGAGGGUGAUCGGCCACACUGGGACUGAGACACGGCCCAGACUCCUACGGGAGGCAGCAGUAGGGAAUCUUCCGCAAUGGACGAAAGUCUGACGGAGCAACGCCGCGUGAGUGAUGAAGGCUUUCGGGUCGUAAAACUCUGUUGUUAGGGAAGAACAAGUGCUAGUUGAAUAAGCUGGCACCUUGACGGUACCUAACCAGAAAGCCACGGCUAACUACGUGCCAGCAGCCGCGGUAAUACGUAGGUGGCAAGCGUUAUCCGGAAUUAUUGGGCGUAAAGCGCGCGCAGGUGGUUUCUUAAGUCUGAUGUGAAAGCCCACGGCUCAACCGUGGAGGGUCAUUGGAAACUGGGAGACUUGAGUGCAGAAGAGGAAAGUGGAAUUCCAUGUGUAGCGGUGAAAUGCGUAGAGAUAUGGAGGAACACCAGUGGCGAAGGCGACUU
rnacentral:rRNA from 1 species